rnacentral:lncRNA from 1 species
ACCCAAGUCUCUAGCACUCCAGCUCUUCAAAGAUAGCUGUUGUUAGACGACUCGGGACCAUCUUGUGGAAGGGCUGAUCUUAUUCUCUAAGGAGUUCCUGAUGGAGGACAGGCAGCUCCCUCAUUCUAGACGCCUUCCCUGUCCUGAACCCCCACCAGACCGGUGCCUUUCUGUGCAUCUGGAGGUUACAGAGGGCAGCGGCUACAUCUUAUUCGUCUUAGUAUCUCCAAUGCCUAGGACAUGCCUGCUCAAUAAAUGUUUGCUGAAUGAAUGAACACAUAAAUUGAUCUAUUAGUAUACUGUACUCGAGCUCUGACCAAGACACAGAGGACCCUAGCGAUCCCCAGUGUACAGGUUUCUGGAUACAGGAAACAGAACAAAUAAAGCAAGCCUGGAUCCGGAGACGCACCUACUCCUCAGGUACCAGCGGGUAAAUUUCUCUCUCUGACCCCUCCAUCCUCAUUCUGAAGAAUAACUCUUGUUGAGUGAAAAUCAAUAAAAGUCAUUUUA